rnacentral:rRNA from 1 species
UUGAGAGAACUCGGGUGAAGGAACUAGGCAAAAUGGUGCCGUAACUUCGGGAGAAGGCACGCUGAUAUGUAGGUGAAGUCCCUCGCGGAUGGAGCUGAAAUCAGUCGAAGAUACCAGCUGGCUGCAACUGUUUAUUAAAAACACAGCACUGUGCAAACACGAAAGUGGACGUAUACGGUGUGACGCCUGCCCGGUGCCGGAAGGUUAAUUGAUGGGGUUAGCGGUAACGCGAAGCUCUUGAUCGAAGCCCCGGUAAACGGCGGCCGUAACUAUAACGGUCCUAAGGUAGCGAAAUUCCUUGUCGGGUAAGUUCCGACCUGCACGAAUGGCGUAAUGAUGGCCAGGCUGUCUCCACCCGAGACUCAGUGAAAUUGAACUCGCUGUGAAGAUGCAGUGUACCCGCGGCAAGACGGAAAGACCCCGUGAACCUUUACUAUAGCUUGACACUGAACAUUGAGCCUUGAUGUGUAGGAUAGGUGGGAGGCUUAGAAGUGUGGACGCCAGUCUGCAUGGAGCCGACCUUGAAAUACCACCCUUUAAUGUUUGAUGUUCUAACGUUGACCCGUAAUCCGGGUUGCGGACAGUGUCUGGUGGGUAGUUUGACUGGGGCGGUCUCCUCCUAAAGAGUAACGGAGGAGCACGAAGGUUGGCUAAUCCUGGUCGGACAUCAGGAGGUUAGUGCAAUGGCAUAAGCCAGCUUGACUGCGAGCGUGACGGCGCGAGCAGGUGCGAAAGCAGGUCAUAGUGAUCCGGUGGUUCUGAAUGGAAGGGCCAUCGCUCAACGGAUAAAAGGUACUCCGGGGAUAACAGGCUGAUACCGCCCAAGAGUUCAUAUCGACGGCGGUGUUUGGCACCUCGAUGUCGGCUCAUCACAUCCUGGGGCUGAAGUAGGUCCCAAGGGUAUGGCUGUUCGCCAUUUAAAGUGGUACGCGAGCUGGGUUUAGAACGUCGUGAGACAGUUCGGUCCCUAUCUGCCGUGGGCGCUGGAGAACUGAGGGGGGCUGCUCCUAGUACGAGAGGACCGGAGUGGACGCAUCACUGGUGUUCGGGUUGUCAUGCCAAUGGCACUGCCCGGUAGCUAAAUGCGGAAGAGAUAAGUGCUGAAAGCAUCUAAGCACGAAACUUGCCCCGAGAUGAGUUCUCCCUGACUCCUUGAGAGUCCUGAAGGAACGUUGAAGACGACGACGUUGAUAGGCCGGGUGUGUAAGCGCAGCGAUGCGUUGAGCUAACCGGUACUAAUGAACCGUGAGG